GACGAACGCUGGCGGCGUGCUUAACACAUGCAAGUCGAACGGGAAGGCCCUGCUUUUGUGGGGUGCUCGAGCGGCGAACGGGUGAGUAACACGUGAGUAACCUGCCCUUGACUUUGGGAUAACUUCAGGAAACUGGGGCUAAUACCGGAUAGGAGCUCCUGCUGCAUGGUGGGGGUUGGAAAGUUUCGGCGGUUGGGGAUGGACUCGCGGCUUAUCAGCUUGUUGGUGGGGUAGUGGCUUACCAAGGCUUUGACGGGUAGCCGGCCUGAGAGGGUGACCGGCCACAUUGGGACUGAGAUACGGCCCAGACUCCUACGGGAGGCAGCAGUGGGGAAUAUUGCACAAUGGGCGGAAGCCUGAUGCAGCAACGCCGCGUGCGGGAUGACGGCCUUCGGGUUGUAAACCGCUUUCGCCUGUGACGAAGCGUGAGUGACGGUAAUGGGUAAAGAAGCACCGGCUAACUACGUG
rnacentral:rRNA from 1 species